UCCGGUUUGGCACCGGCAGUCUCACUAGAGUUCCCGGCAUUACCCGCUGGUAACUAGUGACAAGGGUUGCGCUCGUUGCGGGACUUAACCCAACAUCUCACGACACGAGCUGACGACAGCCAUGCAGCACCUGUCUCCGCGCCCCUUGCGGGGACCACCCAUCUCUGGGCUUAGCACGGGAUGUCAAGGCCUGGUAAGGUUCUGCGCGUUGCGUCGAAUUAAACCACAUGCUCCACCGCUUGUGCAGGCCCCCGUCAAUUUCUUUGAGUUUUAAUCUUGCGACCGUACUCCCCAGGCGGGGUACUUCCUGCGUUAGCGCCGGCACCCAAGGGGUCGCUCCCCCAGGCACCUAGUACCCAUCGUUUACGGCGUGGACUAC
rnacentral:misc_RNA from 1 species